rnacentral:rRNA from 1 species
GACGAACGCUGGCGGCGUGCUUAACACAUGCAAGUCGAACGGUGAAGCGCCUUCCUUUUUGGUGGGUGUGGAUGAGUGGCGAACGGGUGAGUAACACGUGAGUAACCUGCCCCCUUCUUCUGGAUAACCGCAUGAAAGUGUGGCUAAUACGGGAUAUUCUGGGUCUGUCGCAUGAUGGGUCUGGGAAAGAUAUUGUUUCGGUGGGGGAUGGGCUCGCGGCCUAUCAGCUUGUUGGUGGGGUGAUGGCCUACCAAGGCGGUGACGGGUAGCCGGCCUGGGAGGGUGGACGGUCACAGAGGGGCUGAGACACGGCCCAGACUGCUACGGGAGGCAGAAGUGGGGAAUAUGGCACAAUGGGCGAAAGCCUGAUGCAGCGACGCCGCGUGAGGGAUGGAGGCCUUCGGGUUGUGAACCUCUUUCGCCAGUGAAGCAGGCCUGCCUCGUUUGUGGGUGGGUUGACGGUAGCUGGAUAAGAAGCGCCGGCUAACUACGUG